rnacentral:rRNA from 1 species
CCUACUGGUGGCUGCAGUGAGGAAUAUUGGUCAAUGGGCGGAAGCCUGAACCAGCCAAGUAGCGUGCAGGAUGACGGCCCUACGGGUUGUAAACUGCUUUUAUACGGGAAUAACGCGCCUUACGUGUAGGGUUUUGCAUGUACCGUAUGAAUCAGGACCGGCUAAUUCCGUUCCAGCAUCCGCGGUAAUACGGAAGGUCCUGGCGUUAUCCGGAUUUAUUGGGUUUAAAGGGAGCGUAGGUCGGUUGUCAAGCCUGCUGUGAAAUGUCCGGGUUCAACCCGGGCAUUGCAGUGGAAACUGGCAGGCUUGAGUCCGGGGAAGGCAGGCGGAAUGCGUGGUGUAGCGGUGAAAUGCUUAGAUAUGACGAAGAACACCGAUUGCGAAGGCAGCUUGCUGCAGCGGAACUGACGCUGAUGCUCGAAAGCGCGGGUAUCGAACAGGAUUAGAUACCCCAGUAGUC